rnacentral:rRNA from 1 species
GCUGUGAAGCGGAGCAAAUCUCAAAAACCGGUCCCAGUUCGGAUUGUAGGCUGCAACUCGCCUACAUGAAGUCGGAGUUGCUAGUAAUCGCGGAUCAGAAUGCCGCGGUGAAUGCGUUCCCGGGUCUUGUACACACCGCCCGUCACACCAUGGAAGUUGGGGGCGCCCGAAGUUGCCUAAGAAAUAAGGUACCUAAGGCGAAACCAAUGACUGGGGUGAAGUCGUAACAAGGUAAC